GGCUGGUCUGAAGGUAGUGAGUGAUCUCCCGAGUGUUCAGUCAGUCACAGAUCCGACUGCUUGUUCUACUGUUUCUCCCCUUCUCAUUACUGCACUUGACUAGUCUUAA
ensembl:misc_RNA Y_RNA Y RNA